rnacentral:rRNA from 1 species
UACAGAGGUCCCAAGCGUUGUUCGGAUUGACUGGGCGUAAAGGGCGCGUAGGCGGUUCGUACAGUCAGACGUGAAAUUCCUGGGCUCAACCUGGGGGCUGCGUUUGAUACGUGCGGACUUGAGUGCGGAAGAGGGUCGUGGAAUUCCCAGUGUAGAGGUGAAAUUCGUAGAUAUUGGGAAGAACACCGGUGGCGAAGGCGGCGACCUGGUCCGAUACUGACGCUGAGGCGCGAAAGCGUGGGGAGCAAACAGG